rnacentral:rRNA from 1 species
CCUACGGGAGGCAGCAGUGGGGAAUAUUGCACAAUGGAGGCAACCCUGAUGCAGCGACGCCGCGUGAGUGAAGAAGUAAUUCGUUAUGUAAAGCUCUAUCAGCAGGGAAGAAAAUGACGGUACCUGAGUACGAAGCCCCGGAUAACUACGUGCCAGCAGCCGCGGUAAUACGUAGGGGGCAAGCGUUAUCCGGAUUUCCUGGGUGUAAAGGGAGCGUAGACGGUAGGGCAAGUCUGGAGUGAAAGGCGGGGGCUCAACCCCAGGACUGCACUGGAAACUGUACGGCUGGAGUGCAGGAGAGGUAAGUGGAAUUCCUAGUGUAGCGGUGAAAUGCGUAGAGAUUAGGAGGAACACCAGUGGCGAAGGCGGCUUACUGGACUGUAACUGACGUUGAGGCUCGAAAGCGUGGGGAGCAAACAGGAUUAGAUACCCGGGUAGUC